rnacentral:lncRNA from 1 species
GCGCUGGGGGCGGGAGCAGCGCGGAGCCCGGCUCGGCCACACCGAUCGCCCGCCGCCAUGGGCUCCUCGCAAAGCGUCGAGAUCCCGGGCGGGGGCACCGAGGGCUACCACGUUCUGCGGGUACAAGAAAAUUCCCCAGGACACAGAGCUGGUUUGGAGCCUUUCUUUGAUUUUAUUGUUUCUAUUAAUGGUUCAAGAUUAAAUAAAGACAAUGACACUCUUAAGGAUCUGCUGAAAGCAAACGUUGAAAAGCCUGUAAAGAUGCUUAUCUAUAGCAGCAAAACAUUGGAACUGCGAGAGACCUCAGUCACACCAAGUAACCUGUGGGGCGGCCAGGGCUUAUUGGGAGUGAGCAUUCGUUUCUGCAGCUUUGAUGGGGCAAAUGAAAAUGUUUGGCAUGUGCUGGAGGUGGAAUCAAAUUCUCCUGCAGCACUGGCAGGUCUUAGACCACACAGUGAUUAUAUAAUUGGAGCAGAUACAGUCAUGAAUGAGUCUGAAGAUCUAUUCAGCCUUAUCGAAACACAUGAAGCAAAACCAUUGAAACUGUAUGUGUACAACACAGACACUGAUAACUGUCGAGAAGUGAUUAUUACACCAAAUUCUGCAUGGGGUGGAGAAGGCAGCCUAGGAUGUGGCAUUGGAUAUGGUUAUUUGCAUCGAAUACCUACACGCCCAUUUGAGGAAGGAAAGAAAAUUUCUCUUCCAGGACAAAUGGCUGGUACACCUAUUACACCUCUUAAAGAUGGGUCCAGCUGUCCUCAGUUAAUCCCCCGUCUUUGUCACCACCAGGAACUACAGGAAUUGAACAGAGUCUGACUGGACUUUCUAUUAGCUCAACUCCACCAGCUGUCAGUAGUGUUCUCAGUACAGGUGUACCAACAGUACCGUUAUUGCCACCACAAGUAAACCAGUCCCUCACUUCUGUGCCACCAAUGAAUCCAGCUACUACAUUACCAGGUCUGAUGCCUUUACCAGCAGGACUGCCCAACCUCCCCAACCUCAACCUCAACCUCCCAGCACCACACAUCAUGCCAGGGGUUGGCUUACCAGAACUUGUAAACCCAGGUCUGCCACCUCUUCCUUCCAUGCCUCCCCGAAACUUACCUGGCAUUGCACCUCUCCCCCUGCCAUCCGAGUUCCUCCCGUCAUUCCCCUUGGUUCCAGAGAGCUCUUCUGCAGCAAGCUCAGGAGAGCUGCUGUCUUCCCUCCCGCCCACCAGCAACGCACCCUCCGACCCUGCCACAACUACUGCAAAGGCAGACGCUGCCUCCUCACUCACUGUGGAUGUGACGCCCCCCACUGCCAAGGCCCCCACCACCGUUGAGGACAGAGUCGGCGACUCCACCCCAGUCAGCGAGAAGCCUGUUUCUGCGGCUGUGGAUGCCAAUGCUUCUGAGUCACCUUAACUUUGAACCAUUCUUUGGAAUUGGCGUGGUAUAUUUAACCACGGGAGCGUGUCUGGAAACGCAAACUAUCAUUAAUUUCAUACUAGUUUGUACCGUAUCUGUAGGCAUCCUGUAAAUAAUUCCAAGGGGAAAACUAAACGAGGACGUGGGUUGUAUCCUGCCAGGUUGAGUGGGGCUCACACGCUAGGGUGAGAUGUCAGAAAGCGCUUGUAUUUUAAACAACCAAAAAGAAUUGUAAGGGUGGCUUGCUGCCAGGCUUGCACUGCCGUUCCUGGGGGUGUGCAUCUUCGGGAAAGGUGGUGGCGGGGCGUCCACUAGGUUUCCUGUCCCCUGCUGCUCCUUCCGUAAGAAAAUGAAAUAUUCUAUGCCUAAUACUCACACGCAACAUUUCUUGUACUUUGUAAGUCGUUUGCGAGAAUGCAGACCACCUCACUAAACUGUAAACGGUAAAGAGAUUUUUACUUUUGGUCUCCGUGAGUCGCAUCUCUACUAAGGUUUACACAGGAAUUCCACCUGAAGACUUGUGUUAAAGUUCUACAGCGCGCACUGUUAACUGAACGUCUUUUUCUUCAGCCUAUACGCGGAUCCUUGUUUUGAGCUCUCAGAAUCACUCAGACAACAUUUUGUAACUGCUGCUGUUGCUUUCUACAUACACCUUAUAAAGUGACAUUUCAAAAGAAAUAAGGUGCCACAGUUUUAAACCAGAAGGUGGCACUCUGUGGCUCCUUGUAGUAUUAUAGCUAUACUGGGAA